CUUGAUCAUAUCUAUCCUCAACUCCCUCUGGAUUCCAGACACAUAUGCCUCUCCCACCUUUCCUGCCUGUAUCACUGUCACUUCCUCCUGCCUCUUCCUCUUCUCCCUGCUCUUCCCCCUCCUCCUUCCCCUCUUCUCCUUUUUCCCCACUGAGGUCACCAGUACUACCUGCAUAAGCGCAGGCAACCUACAAGCAGCCAUAUCCUGAAGAAGACUCCUCCCGCUCCAGCAGCCAACAGUGGCCCAUAGCCUCUAGGUUAAGGGCGGGGCCUCGUGAGCCCCUCCCUACCCACAUCUCUAUCUAUGCCGUUAUUGGCUGGCUUGAUCUUGUGGAAACUUCUUGGGUGCAGCUAUGUUUGAAGUCUGUCUCUGUGUUACUGCAGUGAAUGGUGCAUACAAGGGCUUAUGAAGCUGAGGGAUGCCUCAAAGGUUUUAUUGUAAAUAACAGCAGAAACCACACUCCACCUUUCUCUGAGCCUGCUAAAGUGGGAACUGGUGCCUGGCUUAACUUAACCCUCUAAUUCUGCAUGAAAUCACUUAAGGGUCCGUGGCUUUGUGUUCUCUAAGAAGCUAGCAGAAGAAAAUGAU
rnacentral:lncRNA from 1 species